CGGGCGCGGAGGCGGCAACUGACAGCGCAUCCGGUUUACCAGGCGCGGACCUGGAGCGGCGGCGGGCGCGCAGGAAGUGGGCGUGGCCGGGCGCGCGGGCUCCCGCGGCGGCGUCGGAGCGCCGGCCGACCGAGGCAGAUGAUGAGGGGGGACAGAAGAGCGAGAACCUGGCCCCUCCAGCCACCUUCAGGCUCUACUGGCUGUGAGAUUUGUUCGGGAGCACAGCCCUGGCUCCCUCAGCGUUCUGAAGCUCUGGGACCCAUGCUGGAGCCCCAGGAGAGAGGAAGCUGCCCCACAACUGAGCUGCUGUCUCUUCACCAGCUAAAGUGACCUUUCACUCCCUUUCAAGGAACUCCAAUAUAAAGAGCACUAUUCUAGCUGCUUUGAAUGCAAGAAUGAAUAGAUCCAAUUCAACUCCUAUUGUUCAAGUAUUUUAAGAAUAGUGGCAGAUUGUUUAUUGAACACUACAUAGGCCAGGUGCUAUAUUAUUAUAGACAUCUAAGUUAGAAAUUAAUAUGCAAUCCGAGAGGGAUUGGGCCCAUGAGGAAGUCAAUACAAAAAAAAAAGAGAGACAUCAAAAUUACGGCUGGAGGCAAAAAAAUCUAAAGAAAGCCAGGCCUGCAUACCUCCCUAGAGAUAAACAGCAGUUUAAUAUCAUACCCCAGUCACUACCACCUGGUCAAGUGGGCCGAGUUAGGUGGGUGACCAGAAAACCUGGACCCAUAUACCUCUCCCUUUCCAAUUGUUUCACUGAUCUUUCCAUAUACCCAUGAUAUGUGCUAUGACUACACUGACAGUCCUAAAGGUUGAUUGUAUUUUCACCCAUGUUUACCCACAUUGUAAUUUCACCAUGUAAAUUACCGUUGAUAGAGGACUUCAGUGGCCACCCAAUAGGGACCCCUCUUGGAAAUCCAGGAGUUGUACUUCUGCUUAUUCCCAAUAAAGCUCAUCUUUUUCCUUUGGUUCACAA